rnacentral:lncRNA from 1 species
GACGUUGUCUCCAACAAUCAUCAAAUUAUUUGGGUAUUGCCUUUUCCUGAAGCCAAGUUAUUCUGGAAAAUGGUCAUAGAAGUAUUGAGGAUAGCCAUUGUAAAGACUGGAAGAGGAUCAGAAUAGACAGAGGCUGAGACCCUAAUCUAGCGGCCACUUCUGAGAUCCUUGAAAGGGCAGGUAGAGCCCAAGGCACAAGGACCCUAACAUGUGACCAGCCUCACCCAGCUGUUGUCAUCCAGGAGCGAGAGCCUAGAAUUGCUAGUUCUUCAAAUCUCCCAAGAGCCACCAGAAAUCUGGACUUUCUUGUGAAAUCUCCGUAUUUCUAAAUUUCAGCAACUAGUUCAAAUGUUUUAAAAACACAUCUGGAAGCCAGAUUAUGGCAGUAGGCCAUCAGUUAGGGACCUCUGAUAUUAGAUUAUGAUCCAGAAUACAGACUAAAACAUAUCUACCAUUGGAAGAAACAGUUCUAACGCAUAUUAAUGUCUUCUUCAUGUCAGUGAUUUUCUGAGAGCAGGUGUAGAU